UACAGAGGUCUCGAAGCGUUGUUCGGAUUCAUUGGGCGUAAAGGGUGCGUAGGCGGCGCGGUAAGUCGGGUGUGAAAUCUCGGGGCUUAACUCCGAAACUGCAUUCGAUACUGCCGUGCUUGAGGACUGGAGAGGAGACUGGAAUUUACGGUGUAGCGGUGAAAUGCGUAGAGAUCAUGAGGAAGACCAGUGGCGAAGGCGGGUCUCUGGACAGUUCCUGACACUGAGACACGGAAGGCUAGGGGAGCAAACGGG
rnacentral:rRNA from 1 species